rnacentral:rRNA from 1 species
UACGUAGGGACCGAGCGUUGUCCGGAAUCAUUGGGCGUAAAGAGCGUGUAGGCGGCUCGCUAAGUCUUGCGUGAAAUCUCGGGGCUCAACCCCGAGCGGUCGUGAGAAACUGGCGGGCUAGAGUGCGGGAGAGGAGAGUGGAAUUCCUGGUGUAGCGGUGAAAUGCGCAGAUAUCAGGAAGAACACCCGUGGCGAAGGCGGCUCUCUGGAACGCAACUGACGCUGAGACGCGAAAGCGUGGGGGAGCAAACAGG